UCGAUUUCGGUAGCACAUAUACUAAAAUUGGAACAAUAGAGAAAAGAUUAGCAUGAUCCCUUCACAAGGAUGAUAUUUUUAAAAAUAACAGAAUAAAAUAAAGCU